GACGAACGCUGGCGGCGUGCUUAACACAUGCAAGUCGAACGAUGAGCCCGGAGCUUGCCCCGGUGGAUUAGUGGCGAACGGGUGAGUAACACGUGAGUAACCUGCCCUUGACUCUGGGAUAACUGCGGGAAACUGUAGCUAAUACCGGAUACGACCCUCGGCGGCAUCGCCAGGGGGUGGAAAGAAUUUCGGUCAAGGAUGGACUCGCGGCCUAUCAGCUAGUUGGUGAGGUAACGGCUCACCAAGGCGACGACGGGUAGCCGGCCUGAGAGGGUGACCGGCCCCACUGGGACUGAGACACGGGCCAGACUCCUCCGGGAGGCAGCAGUGGGGAAUAUUGCACAAUGGGCGCAAGCCUGAUGCAACAACGCCGCGUGAGGGAUGACGGCCUUCGGGUUGUAAACCUCUUUUAGUAGGGAAGAAGCGAGAGUGACGGUACCUGCAGAAAAAGCACCGGCUAACUACGUGCCAGCCGCCGCAGUAA
rnacentral:rRNA from 1 species